rnacentral:rRNA from 1 species
GUAGGGAAUCUUGCGCAAUGGGCGAAAGCCUGACGCAGCAAUGCCGCGUGCGGGACGAAGGCCCUAGGGUCGUAAACCGCUUUCAGUAGGGACGAAAAUGACGGUACCUGCAGAAGAAGCUCCGGCCAACUACGUGCCAGCAGCCGCGGUGAUACGUAGGGAGCAAGCGUUGUCCGGAAUUACUGGGCGUAAAGGGCUCGUAGGUGGUUGAGUAAGUCAGAUGUGAAAUCUCAGGGCCCAACCCUGAGCCUGCAUUUGAUACUGCUCUGACUAGAGUCCGGUAGGGGAGUGCGGAACUCCUGGUGUAGCGGUGAAAUGCGCAGAUAUCAGGAAGAACACCGACAGCGAAGGCAGCACUCUGGGCCGGUACUGACACUGAGGAGCGAAAGCAUGGGUAGCAAACAGGAUUAGAUACCCCAGUAGUCC